rnacentral:tRNA from 1 species
GCCUAUAGCUCAGUUGGUCAGAGCACCUCGUUUACACCGAGGGGGCCGGGGGUUCGAGUCCCUCUGGGCCC